UCAUAACUUAGUGAGUUUGGCUCUACAAUUCGUGGUAUUUAUCCACCAUGUGGGGCAAAACAGGGAUUUAGUAUUAGGGUCUCUUGAACAAUCACAUGAAAAAGACCAACAUAGUUCAGUGGCUGUCACAUUCAUUGUUUUCAGGGCUAAGAGGGGAUUGCCUACCAGUGGGUUGAAAGCAUAAGAAUGUAGUUGUAGCGUUUUAUGGGGUUUUGAGUAUGUAGGUACUUCUCCAAUAGUGAGAGGGGGUAGUGACAGCUAUAAGACAAGAUUGUGUGGUGUUUUCAGUACUGAGGAGAGAGUUGAGGCAAAAUGAGGUUAGAUUAAAAGCCUUUGAUAUCUGCAUCCAUAUAUUUCCCUGCCAUACAUUAUUAUAUUCUGGUCUCAAGUCAUAGUAGCAUAACUGAACAGAGCAUACAAUGGUAAAGGAUAAGAACACUUUCAUGAUGGAGGAUCGGUAAGGUGCACUUGUUUGCAGUGGCUGGUGUGUAUCCAUGUGGGCUUACCUUCCAGUUUCACAGAUGUAGCUGUAGUUAGCAAUACUUGGAAGGGACCAUCAAAUCUUGGCUCAAGUCCUUUUCUCAUUUGUCUUUUUAUCACUACCCAAUCUCCAGGUUGUAGUUUAUGAGUGGUAGGACUGGAGUCUGGAUCUGGAAUAGAAUCAAACACUUGUUUUUGCA